rnacentral:rRNA from 1 species
UACAGAGAGUGCAAGCGUUAAUCGGAAUUACUGGGCGUAAAGCGAGCGUAGUCGGUUAUUUAAGUCGGAUGUGAAAUCCCCGGGCUCAACCUGGGAAUUGCAUUCGAUACUGGAUAGCUAGAGUUCGGCAGAGGGAAGCGGAAUUUCGGGUGUAGCGGUGAAAUGCGUAGAUAUCCGAAGGAACAUCAGUGGCGAAAGCGGCUUCCUGGACCAGAACUGACGAUCAGGCUCGAAAGCGUGGGGAGCAAACAGG